GUACAUAAUUUUAGACACAUUCAUUUUAUAUUUCUAUUGAAAAUUACAUUUAAGUCCUUCUUCGUACGCUUUUUCAUAGCGGUCUCGGCUAAUAUAAUGUAACUCGCCUAAUCUUCUACAUAGUCUGCACCUUGAUCUGUAAUGUAGUGUAUAACUAUAUGACAAUAUAUUAUAUAUUAUCUGCUGACGACGGCAUACAAAAUAUUACAAGAAGUAGAGUACCUUGGUGGUUAUCAAUUACUUGGUAAGUUCCCCUAAAUUUUAAAAUCACCGCCAUGCUAUUUGAGUUUUAACCAUCUAGGUCUUAGUACUCAGUGGUUUUAUGUGAGUAUUGAAUAAAAGGGUAUCUAAUCCUUGUUUUUUGGCAAUAUUUUUAAUAUCUUUAUGUAAGGUAGUAAAUAAAUAUUAUUUCACCAAUAUUUUUUUGUAAAUAAUUUACACUUGUGUUGUUCAUUACUAUAGAAGUCUGACCGCGACUGCUGGCACUUUUUUAGUCAUAGUAUAUAUAUUGGUUUAAUCUUACUUUCGUAAAUUUAUAAAUUUUCUUGCCUGGUUAAUCCUUUUAGUACCAUAAGUAUCCUACUUUAUAUGAACGUUUCACCAU
rnacentral:rRNA from 1 species